GUCAAAUCAUCAUGCCCUUUAUGACCUGGGCUACACACGUAAUACAAUGGCGUUUUAACAGAGGGUCGCGACCCCGCGAGGGCAAGCCAACCCCUAAAAAGCGCCUCAGUUCGGAUUGCAGGCUGCAACUCGCCUGCAUGAAGUCGGAAUUGCUAGUAAUCGCGGAUCAUCAUGCCGCGGUGAAUACGUUCCCGGGCCUU
rnacentral:rRNA from 1 species